rnacentral:rRNA from 1 species
CCCUUAGACGUUCUGGGCCGCACGCGCGCUACACUGACCAGUGCAACAAGCAUCCGUCCUUGGCCGACAGGCCCGGGCAAUCUUUGAACGCUGGUCGUGAUGGGGAUAGACUUUUGCAAUUUUUGGUCUUCAACGAGGAAUUCCUAGUAAACGCAAGUCAUCAACUUGCAUUGAUUACGUCCCUGCCCUUUGUACACACCGCCCGUCGCACCUACCGAUUGAAUGGUCCGGUGAAGCCUCCGGACUGGCGUGAGUCGGAGCAAUCUGACAAACACCGGAAAGUUGAUUAAACCUUACCAUUUAGAGGAAGGUGAAGUCGUANCA